ensembl:lncRNA
CUGAAGCAUACAGAGGCUGAGGAGAGAAUAGAGAUGCCUGCCUGGGGUAUUCCUUACACAUGUUCCAGGGCUGCUUGCCCCUUUCUCUUUUCUUCUAAAUUCACCAGAUUCCCGUUUUUUUCUUCUAAGGCAAAUCUCUGAUCCGGACACAGGCAAGAAUUUAAAAAGUAGCGAAGAUCCUGAUCAUCAGUCAAUGCUGGACUGAGGAUAGUGUGGUGGGGGAUUUGAUGCACCAGCCUGAGCCAUGGCUCAUGGGAGGAAGUCAGAGAAGAUCACCAGAAUCCUGGGGCCCAGCCCUCCAUCCUGCCCUGGCCAUGCUGGAUUCAUAGAGAAAAAGCCAGGGACUAUUAGGAGAAUAUUGGCCCCCAGCCCUCCACCCUGCCCUGGAUCCAAAGGAUCCACAGAAGAGUCUAAUGAAGGACCUCAUAAUGAAGGACCUCAGAAAGAAAGACCACAGAGUUUGAGGAGUAUGGACCCUCCGCCCUGCCGUGGCCCCUUAUCCACAGGGGAGCCUACUGAUGAAGGACUGAUGAGCCUACUGAUGAGUCUGAGCAGCAAAGGGCCAACUAUAGAACCUCAUAAUGGGCCUCGGAGUCUGAAGAGUGAGGACCAUCCUCAGCACUCUCAGAGCACCAGCAUUGAGGAGCUGGACAAUAACAAUGAUGAGAGGACCCCUGGGUCUGCAACACCUGUCCCUGUCCCUGCUAGUGCAACACAGGCCCACCCAAACCAAGCCUACAGCCACCUGACUCAGGCAACACAUGCCCACCCAAACCAAGCCUACAGCCACCUGACUCAGGCAACACAGGCCCACCCAAACCAAGCCUACAGCCACCUGACUCAAGGCCAGAACUACCCUCAGCAGCCAGAUGCCCAGUCCCAUCCCCGACAUCCCCAGCAGCAUUGCAGAGAGAGUCCAAACAGCCCCAGCACCAGGCCCACCUCUGACUCCCCAUCCAGUCAGGAGAGCAAGCCCAGGACUGUUAAACCACCACCUGUCCUUACCAGUGCCAAUCCUAACCAGCCGUAUCUGAUUAGUCCCUCCGGUUCACCUCUUCCUGUCCCUGCUACAGCGAGUGUCUCCUCUGAGCCCCCGCUGAACCAGCCCGGUGACACCAUCAUCCCUGACAGCAUGGAUGAGGAGGAAGAGGAGGAGGAGGACAGCUGCUCAGAGUAUGACAACGUGGGUUCGGACGUGGAGGGUGUGGAGCAAGACAUUGAUCAGGUACUACAGGUGGAAGACCAGAGUAUGCAGGUGAGGUACUACAAACACUAUCCUGAGCCUCAGGAUGGAAGUUAUGUAGAUAGUGAGGAUGGCAUCUAUGUGGAACACCAAGACAGAACCUACGCAGAACACCAAGACAGAACCUACGCAGAACACCAAGACAGAACCUACGCGGAACACCAAGACAGAACCUACACGGAACACCAAGACAGGACCUACGUGGAACACCAAGACAGAACCUACGCGGAACACCAAGACAGAACCUACGUGGAACACCAAGACGGAACCUACGUGGAAUGUGAGGAUGGUACUUAUUGUCCCAAGGAUGACUCCUAUGUAGAAGGUCAGGAUGGUACCUAUGUGGAGGGGAACAGCCUGGAGGGGGAUGUGAGCAGCACUGGACAAUGCAAACACACCAGGUCACUGUACGGACCUGAGUCUGAGGAAAUGGUUAUGUAUAAUGAAAGACUAGAGACAGAUACAAAUCCCUGUAUCUCAUCUGAGCAUCAGUUCAGUGACAAUCCAUGUCAUGCCCCCAAGGCUGGAGACGAGGAGGAGAAAGGGAAUGUGGAGGUGC